UACAGAGGGUGCAAGCGUUGUUCGGAAUUACUGGGCGUAAAGCGCGUGUAGGCUGCAAUGUAAGUCGGAUGUGAAAGCCCUUGGCUUAACCAAGGAAGUGCAUCCGAUACUGCGUCGCUUGAGUGUCGGAGGGGAUGGCGGAAUUCCCGGUGUAGAGGUGAAAUUCGUAGAUAUCGGGAGGAACACCUGUGGCGAAGGCGGCCAUCUGGACGAUAACUGACGCUGAGACGCGAAAGCGUGGGUAGCAAACAGG
rnacentral:misc_RNA from 1 species